UACGGGGGGAGCAAGCGUUGUUCGGAUUUACUGGGCGUAAAGGGCGGGUAGGCGGCCACCGCAAGUCAGUUGUGAAAUCUCUGGGCUUAACCCAGAAAGGUCAACUGAUACUGCGGGGCUAGAGUGCAGAAGGGGCAACUGGAAUUCUCGGUGUAGCGGUGAAAUGCGUAGAUAUCGAGAGGAACACCUACGGCGAAGGCGGGUUGCUGGGCUGACACUGACGCUGAUGCGCGAAAGCCAGGGGAGCGAACGGG
rnacentral:rRNA from 1 species